rnacentral:rRNA from 1 species
UACGGAGGGGGCCAGCGUUGUUCGGAAUUAUUGGGCGUAAAGGGUGCGUAGGCGGGUCUUUAAGUCAGGGGUGAAAUCCUGGAGCUCAACUCCAGAACUGCCUUUGAUACUGAGGAUCUUGAGUUCGGGAGAGGUGAGUGGAACUGCGAGUGUAGAGGUGAAAUUCGUAGAUAUUCGCAAGAACACCAGUGGCGAAGGCGGCUCACUGGCCCGAUACUGACGCUGAGGCACGAAAGCGUGGGGAGCAAACAGG